AGCAGCCGCGGUAAUUCCAGCUCCAAUAGCGUAUAUUAAAGUUGUUGCAGUUAAAAAGCUCGUAGUUGAAUUUCGGGACCAAUAUGUCGGUCGUGCCUCGGUACGUACUGGUGUCAUUGGUUUCUCCCUUCUGAGGAUCCUUGAUGUCAUUAAUUUGGUGUCUUGGGGAAUCAGGACUGUUACCUUGAAAAAAUUAGAGUGUUUAAAGCAGGCAUACGCUUGAAUACAUUAGCAUGGAAUAAUGAAAUAGGACGUUCGAUUCUAUUUUGUUGGUUUCUAGGAUCGACGUAAUGAUUAAUAGGGAUAGUUGGGGGCAUUAGUAUUCAAUUGUCAGAGGUGAAAUUCUUGGAUUUAUUGAAGACUAACUACUGCGAAAGCAUUUGCCAAGGAUGUUUUCAUUAAUCAAGAA
rnacentral:rRNA from 1 species